UAUUACCAGGAACUAAUAACCGGGACCCGACACUCGCGAAGAACCGAUAUAAAAUUCAUGCAACCCCAGAUGAGCUCACGAGACCAGCACCGCCAGAGGCGCUAGUGUAUUUUACUCAUAUUUUGAACCAGCUCUACCCAUUUCGGAUGGUACACACGGCAUCAUCACUGAUAUUCCGCUGCUCUCAUUUUCGAACCGAUCCCUAUUUGACCGCUCAACAGCGAUGAGUGUAAGCGGAUUACAACCUUUUGGCGAACCUUUUUACAAGUGCAACGGAAUCGGCAGAGUAUUUAAGCAAGGCAACCUAUCCAAAAUUCAUUACUCAAUCAGCAGCAAUAUAUUGCAGGAGCGUUCGUGUGCAACGCAUAGCAAUGUCCAUAGACAGUAUCUGCUAUAGCCACUCAAUCGGACAGUGCCGCUUUGAAAACAGCACUACGCGCACCACUUCCAUGCGAUUCACUUAGGAUUGUGUCGGCUGCCCGAGUCGACUUCCCCGAUGAUUAAAAUGAAUAUGGAGAAUACUGCACGAACCCGGCCGUUCAUUCCUUAUGCUAUCCGAUCAAAGCAGAUACAGAUCCAUGAUGAACUGAUUUGCUGAACCAAUUCGAUUAUCUGCACCCCCGCGAAUGUGUCCGCUUACGCUUCUGCUGGACAACCUUUGCUCAACACCGAGCCCAUAGAGAAUAAAACAACAAUAAUAUAAAUAGUGAUAAAGAAAUUAAGCAGCGUAAUGCGCGGACAGCCGAUUUGCGAUAUACCCGUACCCGAACGUCGAGUGUAAACAGAAGGAUAUUCUCAUCUAGGGUGAGAAGGCGUAUAUGCGAAGCAUCUCAAGUAACCAUGCGGCUGAAGCACGUUGGACAGCAUAUUAAAGACUUCAAAAUCCGACAAGCAAUCGAUCAUCGCAUAAGAGCAUCGAGUAUGCAUGCAUACCUCCGCAUGUGAUAAAGAAGCAGCUUGACAUGCUGACAAACGAAUUGUAUUCGGUACAUCCGACAAUCGCUGCCGGACAGAGCGGUCACAUAUCAACGGAGAUCGAGUUGCAGCCAGCGAAAUCUGCGUACUUCGACAUUGUAGUUCUUGGAAGCGUGAAAACAGAGAACGCAUGUCCUGCUGCUGUUCAGCGUAACUAUAAUGCACUGUAAGAUUUGUUUUUUAUUUUUCAUACUUUUCGCGCAUUUUCGGUGCGGAUUGAGUUUCAGGUUGCUUUUUCAGACAAUUUAUACU